AAUAAUAGCGUACUACUUAGAUUGUGGUUUGAUAUGUCAUUACAAGCUUAAAAUUAUUUGCUAUCUAAUUUUUAUGUAGUUCUUGUGUAAUAUUUGUUUCUGCUUUAAUCUUAGUAUGUCAUUACAAUCUAAUUGUUCGUUCUCACCCUGGCUUAAUUAGCUGAAAACUGAUGUUCUGACGGUGCCACUUUCUAUUUCCAGUACUAUUGCUGAGCCACCUUACCAUCACAAGUAUUUGCCUGAGCUCUGGUGAUUACUCCCAAGGAUUACUCCACCAAAUACCAUUACUGAGGAGGGCAGCAGCCUCGGCGCGGCGAUCAAGUCGCUCCUUAGAGCGGAUAAGUCGUGCCACUUGGCCAGCGGCAGGAAGUCCGCCGAUCGUCGGGAUCUGCUUCAUGGACGGCGCCUGGAAGAAGCUCAAUGACGAGACCAUCGUCCUCUUCAAGUGGAGGGGCCGGCUCAAGCAGUCAGACUUUGGCGAGCUGUCAAGAUUUUGCUUUUAGUCACAGAGAUAGGCUUCAAAUGUUAUCUACCUUGGUAAGGUGAUUCGUUGUCUUCAGCUGGUAUGUUUGAGCUUGUGCCAGGUUCAGUUAGCGAUAAUAACGCCAACGGCGGAGGCGGAGCAUGCAUAGUGCAUAAGUUUAUGAGCUAAUUGUGAUACUAUUUAUAGAGUUUUCAUAUUUAUCAUUAGGAUGAUGAAGCCUGUCAAGUAUUAUCCAAUACUAAUUAGCUUUGCCUCAGAGCUUGGAAAGACAAAGUAGAGUUGUCAAUAAUGAUCAGCUACCAUUGAUAUCGAUGUUUCCAGAACAUCGUUUUCAAUUGUCUGUUAUCUCAUUGUGUUUAUAAGCAGAUACAACAUCUCCUGUAACAC